GGGAGUGUGGCUCAAAGGAAGAGUGCUUGCCUUGCAUGUACAAGGCACUGAGUUUGAUUCUCAGCACCACA
rnacentral:tRNA from 1 species